rnacentral:piRNA from 1 species
UCCCUGUGUACUAUACCCUGGUCAUGGCA